rnacentral:rRNA from 1 species
GAAUUGAUCUACAACGGAGAGUUUGAUCCUGGCUCAGGAUGAACGCUGGCGGCGUGCUUAACACAUGCAAGUCGAACGAACCUUCGGGUUAGUGGCGGAC